rnacentral:misc_RNA from 1 species
AACGCACAUUGCGCCCCUUGGUAUUCCAGGGGGCAUGCCUGUUCGAGCGUCAUUAUCACCACUCAAGCUUGGCUUGGUCUUGGGGCACGCCGCCACCGGCCGCCCCUAAACCCAGUGGCGCGGACCCUCCCGACCCAGACGCAGUCACCACUCGUCUUGGGGGCGCGGGGCCCGCGACCAAAAACCUCUCACGGUUGACCUCGGAUCAGGUAGGAAUACCCGCUGAACUUAA